AAUGCAAUGAUUUAUUGCUGGAUGGCUUACUAUAAGACGCUGAGCUCCAGUUCUUGAAAAAGGAUUGGAUGAUGAUAUAGUCCAAAUUAAAACACAUAAUAUUAAUUAUGUCGAGGCCAGCAGCAGCGGUAAUACAGAGACCCCGAGCAUUAUCCGGAAUUACUGGGCGUAAAGGGCACGUAGUCGGUUGUGAUAGUCUGAUGUUAAAUCUCAUCGCUCAACGGUGAGGCCGCAUUAGAAACGUCACGUCUAGAGCAAGUCAGAGGCACGCGGAACGUGUGGUGUAGCGGUGAAAUGCAUUGAUAUCACACGGAACACCAAAAGCGAAAGCAGCGUGCUGGGGCUUUGCUGACGAUGAGGUGCGAAAGCGUGGGGAUCAAAAAGGAUUAGAUACCCUUGUAGUCCACGCCCUAAACUAUGCAGACUAGCUAUGGGGAGCAUCGACCCUCUCCGUGGCGCAGCUAACGCAUUAAGUCUGCCGCCUGGGAAGUACGAUCGCAAGAUUAAAACUCAAAGGAAUAGGCGGGAGUUCGCACAAGCGGUGGAUCAUGUGGUUCAAUUCGACACUGAGCGAAAAACCUCACCAGGGCUUGAAAUCCAGCUGCACGCUUCCCGAAAGGGAGGAAGCCUUCGAGGGUGCUGGACAGGUGAUGCACGGCUGAAAUUAUCGGCCAUCGAGAGAGUAAUCUCUCGAAAAAAAUUCCAACUCAUAACGGUGAAACCCGACCCUCUCCAUGCUAUAAUGGGAAGAUGGGCAAUACCGUGGGAAGUCCCGCCAAAGCGGGAUCCCGUAGAGACUCGCUCCGACAUUCAUUGUCGGAGCCUAUAGCUACACACGAUCAGUUAUAAAGCUAUAAAACGUUGGCUCCUUCGUCGCAUAUAGCUAUGAAGGAUGAAAGUAUAGUCCGUACCAUUAGGAAUAGUGGAAGUAUACGGUCGUCAGCUCGUCAGGUGAAAUAAAAGUCGCCUAGUUAUGUGGCAACAUAUAACUGUAAUCAGCUCAUAUCGGGGAAACCCCAAGCGUAUGCGAAGGGCAAUCCCGAGGGAAGUGAGAAGUCAAUGUGUCAUAUAUUACUGGCAAGGAAAACACAAUUUCUUAUCGUCAAUGACAAAGAAGUUGAGUUGUUGGCCGGUUGUAUGUUGGGAGACGGAUAUGUCUCAAAAGAAGGUGCUGUUUGUAUUGAACAUUCGGAUAAACAAAAAGAAUAUCUUGAAUGGAAAUACGGCCAGCUCCAAUCUCUGGUUUCUGGAAAGCUAAGAAAAGUUUCCCGGAACAGGAUUGGCGGAACAAUAUCAUACUCGUAUCGGUUCAAGUUGAAACAAUACUUCAAACCGUGGAGAAAGAUGCUGUAUCCGGAAGAUCGCAAGAGUAUUACGCAAGAUUUCCUUAUGUUACUUACUCCGCUAUCGUUAGCAGUCUGGUACAUGGACGAUGGUUGCCUCAAAAGCAACUACCAACUAGUACUUUGCACUGAUGACUUCAGCGAAGAGAGUAUCGAAAACUUGAGAAAAUAUCUCAAGCAAAAAUGGAAUAUCGAAACGAGGAUAAAACUCAAGCGAGAACCUUCAUACCGGACCUAUCAACGACUUACUAUUGGCAGCUAUAGCCUCGUGAGAUUCUUUGAUCUCAUUCGGCCGCACAUAGCCCCAAGCAUGUUGUAUAAAAUUUCUGACCCCGUAACGACUCAAUCAAUCAAGCGACGUCAUCGGACUUAGUAUGAUUGAUUGGAUAGAAAGUUUUUACUUUCUAUAAAACGCUGACCUCCCAAGAGGAGGAAGGUAUAGUCUAAUGUUCUAGAAAUAGAAACAGGACUGGUUCCCUUAAGUGGGGAAACGAGCGCAACCCCCGUUGCGUGUUAUACGUGUCACGCGAGACUGCCCGGGUUGACCGGGAGGAAGGAGGGGAUGACGUCAAGUCAGCGUGUCCCUUUGAUGCCCUGGGCUACACACAUGAUACAAUGGAUGAAACAAUGGGUUGCCAAGCCGCGAGGCGGAGCUAAUCCCAUCAAAUACAUCCUCAGUUCGGAUAGGAGGCUGAAACUUGCCUCCUUGAAGCUGGAAUCGCUAGUAAUCGCAGAUCAGCACGCUGCGGUGAAUACGUUCUCGAACUUUGCACUCAGAAUGAAAAGCGCACGGCAGUAUAUAUUGCUAAAUGGUUCAAAUCCA
rnacentral:rRNA from 1 species